rnacentral:rRNA from 1 species
GCAUAGGGAGAAGUUUCUUGGAAAAGAACAUCAGAGAGGGUGAGAGUCCCGUAUUUGCCCUGUGUCAUUUAGUUCCACGUACGGUACGCUUUUAUAGAGUCGCGUUCAUCGGGAUUUGAGCGCAAAAUGUGUGGUAAGUUUCACAUAAAGCUAAAUAAUGGCGCGAGACCGAUAGCAAACAAGUACCGUGAGGGAAAGACGAAAAGUUCUUUGGAAAGAGAGUUAAAAGUGCCUGAAAUUGCCGAAAAGGAAGCGAUUGGAACCUUUUGGAAUCCAAUACGUGAAUCUCUCAUGACAUUGGGCCCCAGGUUAUUUAACCCUGUAAAAAGGGAAAAGGAUUUGGGUAAGGCAAUAGAUGAAAGGGGUGAGGAUCGUAUUGGAGAGGCCAGCAUCAGUUAAAACGAAAAGACUCCAGGUGUAGAAGGUAGGUCCCCCGUGGACUGUUUUACUAGAUACACCGUUGGAACUUUUCUUUUUAACUGAGGUGUACUAUAAUAGAGCAUGGAAUAUUCGGGCUACACUCGGUUUUUGUAAAAAGAUCGAGUACUCGAGUUCUGUGAUGCUGACUAAAAUGGUUUCAACCGACCCGUCUUGAAACACGGACCAAGGAGUCUAACAUAUGUGCAAGUAUGCGGGUGGCAAACCUGUAUGCGAAAUGAAAGUAAGAGUAGGGAAAAGGGUAAUAUCGUCAAAAAAUAUUAUGCUUUGCACCUACGACCGACCAUGAUCUCAGAG